CCACUCUUGAACUCUCAACGUCGAGACCCGUUUCCUCGACCCGGAAACCUGCGCCGGCAACCCGAUUCCGUCUCCAUCUUCCGGCCACGACACAUCGGCAAACCGACCCCUUUCUAUUCGUCUCCUCAAAUCCGGCGCCCUUCUGAUCACGGAUCGUCCAUUCGACAACGGAAGGCGACAAAACGAGGUUGAGAAACCGCUGCAACUCCGGUAAUUUUCCGGCUACUCCGGUCACCAUUGUUGAUGCAUGAGGUAUGAAACGUGAUCUUCUCUUCGUACUCUACAUGUUGGUAUGAAUGGAUUUUGGAAUUGAUCGAGUUUGUUGGAUUGGUGUUUUGGGUGUCGUCGGUUGAUGUCGAGGCUACUGUUCCGGCAGAGUGUUCCAGAGUUCUUUGAUUCAAUUUUGAUGAUAAUUCUGGUCCUAGAACGAGCAUCGAGAUGUGGGUUGCAUUGAAAUUCAGAAUUGGUGUGGUGGAGCACAGUCGGGUAGCAGAACAAAGAGUUCGAAAAUCUGUGAAGUUUGAUAGUGAAAAGUCUGGUUUUGUUCGUACUGGAACAAGACAUAGACAUGCAAAGGGAGAGCGAUUCAGAAGCUUGCCAGAGUUGGUAAUUGGGUUCGAGUAUUCCUCGAUCAAUUCUUAAUAGCAUAUGAUUUCAACUUGGAGGUUUUAAAGACGAAUUGUAUAAUUGGACGAGGGCUGUCCAAGUUCAUUUUGAGUUCCACGGUGAAGAACGGGAGUGAUGGCGAAAUGUAUAAAGGAUGCAGAACCUCGGUGGGCUAAGAACUCCAACAAUUGCAAUGGAAAAAGUAUUCAUGGGACUCCAGUUACUCGGAACAUGAAAGAUGGUGGUGUUGGCCUAAAAGAGCGAAUGGAAUCAAAGCUACGAUAUUCCAGGUAGGGGAUUCUGGACUCGCCUCAGUUAGAAAUUUUUAUGCAUGGAUUUUAUGGAAAUUAAUGAUGCAUGAAAAAGAAUUUGGUCUUUAUUUCAUUUUCUAUGAGCUAUUGUUUGAUGACCUGAGAGUGAGAGGACCAUAGCGACUUCCUUGGGCUUCGAUCCCCUAAACCUCCGGAGGGGCUGUAUGGACUGAAGAGUGUAUGACAUCCGUUGAGGUGUGGCACUGCUUCUAGGUGAUACGGUUUAAGUGGACACUCUCGCUACACAUUGCCGGUGUAAACGAUAUUAAUCGUGGUAAGGUUGUAGUUGGCAUAGCGAUCGGUCAUCAGGUCUGUUUCAUUCUUUUGGGCCCUAUUAUAUUUUUAUAAACGAACUACGGUUUGUGGUUUCGAACAUCUUUAUCUAUAUGCAUUGUUUCUCACUUACUUUGCCGGCAUCUAUAUUUUAAAUUAUUUUCACACCUAGUUGGGGUAGAGUCUUAUUGAGCAGCAAGGACGAAAGCUCACCCCUACAACAGUUUGUGGAUGCAGGUACUGUGUACGAAGACGGGACAGUUGGAUGAUGCUAAUUGUGGCUUAGUUACCUUGUACUUUAAAUGGUCAUCGACGGAGUUAGAUCUGCAUGACAAGUUCUCUUAUUUCUUUUACUUUCGUGUAACUCGUUUACCGAGGUUGUGAUUAUUUGUAAAAUACAUUUUUCGUAUUUUUUUGGGACUUUGGCCUUGAACCGGACGAACAUUCGAUAAUUGUUUUGAAAUGACUUGUAUUUUUUUUCUUUAAAGGAUUUCUGAUGGUUUUAUAGUUUUCACCUCACUUAAACAACU